rnacentral:rRNA from 1 species
UUCAUAAUAACUUCUCAGAUCGCAUGGCCUUGCGCCGGCGACGGUUCAUUCAAAUUUCUGCCCUAUCAACUUUCGAUGGUAAGGUAUUGGCUUACCAUGGUUUCAACGGGUAACGGGGAAUUAGGGUUCGAUUCCGGAGAGGGAGCUGAGAAACGGCUACCACAUCCAAGGAAGGCAGCAGGCGCGCAAAUUACCCAAUCCCGACACGGGGAGGUAGUGACAAUAAAUACUGAUACAGGGCUCUUUUGGGUCUUGUAAUUGGAAUGAGUACAAUUUAAACCUCUUAACGAGGAACAAUUGGAGGGCAAGUCUGGUGCCAGCAGCCGCGGUAAUUCCAGCUCCAAUAGCGUAUAUUAAAGUUGUUGCAGUUAAAAAGCUCGUAGUUGAACCUUUGGCCUGGCUGGCAGGUCCGCCUCACCGCGUGCACUUGUCCGGCCGGGCCUUCUCUUCUGGAGAACCGCAUGCCCUUCACUGGGUGUGUUGGGGACCAGGACUUUUACUUUGAAAAAAUUAGAGUGUUCAAAGCAGGCCUUUGCUCGAAUACGUUAGCAUGGAAUAAUAGAAUAGGACGUGCGGUCCUAUUUUGUUGGUUUCUAGGACCGCCGUAAUGAUUAAUAGGGACAGUCGGGGGCAUCAGUAUUCAAUUGUCAGAGGUGAAAUUCUUGGAUUUAUUGAAGACUAACUACUGCGAAAGCAUUUGCCAAGGAUGUUUUCAUUAAUCAGUGAACGAAAGUUAGGGGAUCGAAGACGAUCAGAUACCGUCGUAGUCUUAACCAUAAACUAUGCCGACUAGGGAUCGGGCGGUGUUAUUAUUUUGACUCGCUCGGCACCUUACGAGAAAUCAAAGUGUUUGGG